rnacentral:rRNA from 1 species
UACGGAGGGUGCAAGCGUUAUCCGGAUUCACUGGGUUUAAAGGGUGCGUAGGUGGGCAGUUAAGUCAGUGGUGAAAUCUCCGGGCUCAACCCGGAAACUGCCAUUGAUACUAUCUGUCUUGAAUAUCGUGGAGGUAAGCGGAAUAUGUCAUGUAGCGGUGAAAUGCUUAGAUAUGACAUAGAACACCAAUUGUGAAGGCAGCUUACUACCCGAAUAUUGACACUGAGGCACGAAAGCGUGGGGAUCAAACAGG